rnacentral:lncRNA from 1 species
GACGAUUACACGAGUUAAAUGAUUUGAUGGUGACUAGGAUAGAUCGGAGAAUGGUGUAUGAAUGGAAAUCGUGACGAAGUUCUUUUGUUGUCGAUGGCGGCAAUGUGUGAGGGGUAGCUGGAAGAGUUGGUGUUUAUGUGUUUGUGUGUCGGUAAAACGUUGUUGCGGUUUUGGUUUUAAGAUUUGGUGGUUUGUGUUUGUGGCUUGCAAAUCGGAAGUUUGGAGGAAGAAAUAAUGGUUUUGGGUUGUUGGUGGAGUGAAUGGAGGUUUGUGAUGAACGGUUUGUGGGGUUGUGACGGUGGUGUGAAGGUUGUGAUGGCGAUGGCGGAGGAAGGUGUUCGAAGGAAGAUGGUGUGGGUCACCGAGUCGUGAUGGAGAAGAAGACGAGUCUUCUCUUCUCUUUUUUUCUUUUCCUUUUCUUUAUUCAGAAAGAUGUUGAAAGAGUUAUGUUUUGGGUUGUUUGGAAGGAUGAGGGCGAAACCUUGGAGGAAGAAAGGAGAACAGUGUUCUUCUCAGAAAAGUGAAGAGGAUUCUUUUUCUUUUUUUCGACUGAAUUGUCCCUCUUUUUCACGGUCUUCCCUGGCAUUUUUUUCUCUCCCAGAAAAAGAAGGAUUCGUUGGAAUUUAUUGGGUGACUGGAGUAAUCGAGUGACAACAAGAAAAGUGGGUUGGACCGUUAGGCAUGGAGCACGUGUAUAAUUUUUAUUGGAGACAAAGAUUUGUGGAUUUUGGUGGAUAUUUAAUGUGAGAAUUUGAACGUGAAGAUGAGUAAGAGAUUCAUUGAGAGAGGUGAUGGAAACGUGACAUAUGUUGAUCGGAAGAAGGAGAUAUUUUUUCCAUUUUUUAUGAUUUUCUUAAUUAAUUUAUUUAUUUAUUAAAAUAACUAUAUUUUGAUUGGAUUGAUAGGAAAAAUAUGGAUAAUAUAUGUGGGUCUUUGAUUAAAUUUGAAUCGAUGAUUCAUAUUAAAUCAAAGAACCACACUUAAUUUAAAAUGGCAAAGUUACCUCUUUUAGAUGAUUUAAUUGAUUUAAAUGAGAUUAAAUCAAUUAACUCCAAUAAAAUUCACAAUUUUUUAAAUAAAUAUGAUAAAAAUAAACUGAAGACAUGGAAAUUCCUAUUUAAAUAUCCUGAUUAUUUUGACAAAAGAACAAAAUUAAAACAACUAAGAAUGAAUAAAAGUCGGGCAAAA